rnacentral:rRNA from 1 species
GACGAACCGUGCGAACGUUGUUCGGAAUCACUGGGCUUAAAGGGCGCGUAGGCGGGCCUUCAAGUCCGGGGUGAAAGCCUCCAGCCUAACUGGAGAAGAGCCUCGGAGACUGAGGGCCUCGAGGGAGGUAGGGGCAAGCGGAACUAUGGGUGGAGCGGUGAAAUGCAUUGAUAUCCAUAGGAACUCCGGUGGCGAAGGCGGCUUGCUGGACCUCUUCUGACGCUGAGGCGCGAAGCCAGGGGAGCAAAACGGGG